rnacentral:rRNA from 1 species
CACCUCUAGCAUUACCAGUAUUAGAGGCACUGCCUGCCCAGUGACAUUAGUUAAACGGCCGCGGUAUCCUGACCGUGCAAAGGUAGCAUAAUCAUUUGUUCCUUAAUUAGGGACUUGUAUGAAUGGCCCCACGAGGGUUUAACUGUCUCUUACUUUUAAUCAGUGAAAUUGACCUUCCCGUGAAGAGGCGGGAAUAUAAAAAUAAGACGAGAAGACCCUAUGGAGCUUAAAUUAAUAUGUUCAACAGAAUUUAAUUAUAAUCCAAUAGAAAUAAAAAUAUUCUAACUGAACAAUAAAUUUUGGUUGGGGUGACCUCGGAGUAUAACAUAACCUCCGAGCAAUUAAACCAAGACUUACCAGUCAAGGCCAUAUAACUUAUUGAUCCAAUCUUAUUGAUCAACGAAACAAGUUACCCUAGGGAUAACAGCGCAAUCCUAUUUAAGAGUUCAUAUCGACAAUAGGGUUUACGACCUCGAUGUUGGAUCAGGACACCCGAAUGGUGCAGCAGCUAUUAAAGGUUCGUUUGUUCAACG